GAUGUCGCACGACAAGAAUGGCACUGCUCAGAAUAGUCUACCUGGAAUGCCCAUAUUUAAACAUAAGAUCUCAAAGAUGGACCAGGAACCAACAAUGGAAUAGCUGCCAACCUCACAAUGGUCAAAAAAGAUUAAACGCAGAUAUUCAUGAAAAUUAAACCUCAAUAUCCUACUUGGCUAGUCUUCUUCUAUGUAAAUCCAUCCAGCACCAUUACAGUAACUGCUUUGUUUGCUUUUUUCCAACUGGAGCAGAAGACGUUCUUUUUUUAGUUGUGUAGAAUCCAACUACUGGAUUAAAUUCUUCAUAUUUAAAUUAGGAAUUAAGCAUGCACACAGGUUUAAUUUUGUUAUUUGUCACAUGCACAGACAUCCAGGCAUCACCUUAUGUCUUGGCAUCAUUAAUAAAAACUUGGAAGAGC